AUCCUUAACUAAUUUAUAAGUUCUACUCUGAAUCUGUUUUUGAUUCAAGUUUCCUUUUUUCCCUUAGUAUUUAGGUUUUUCGAUAUCUUCUGAAUUGUUUUUCCAUGAUUUCUUUGCUAUAGAGACCAUUCUAAAUUUAAUUCUUUUUCAGUUGACAUGAUGUCCAUAAUCUGUUAGUGCAUAAUCUUCUAUCAGUCUUGCUUAUAAAUUUUAUACAAAUUUAGAAGUUCUGUAGUCUGAUUUUUGUAGAUUAAAGCUUAAAAAUUAAUAGCUUAUGGCUGUUAAAGAAUUUGAAUAGAGAAGUUCCUGUCGCCAGGGAUUGAACCCGAAACCUCAUGGUUCCUAGUUGGAUUCGCAAACCACUGAGCCACGACAGGAACUCCAGGUAUUGUUUUUUGUAUAUCAUUCUUGUAUCAUUUGUUUCAGUUGUUUGAGACCUUGAAGUCCAGAAGCCUAGUAAUUUUUAUAAUUCUGAUUGGCAUCAAAUUAGAAUUUCACUUGCGAGGGAGCCUGGUGUCUAAGUGUGAGUCACUCACCAAGUGGAGAUGAGCACUUUACUUAGAAUCAUGUGAUGACUACUCUUCUUCCCACCAAGUACGGAGCUCUGCUGUGGUUACUUUGCUUCAUUUUAUAGGUGUUACCCUUUUUUUCCCAAAGUUCAGGAUUUGUGAAUGUCUGGGAGAUAACCUUUAUGCCUCUUAAGGCCCACAGUGCUCAGUAAAUAUUUAUUGACUGAUCGACAGUUCUCCAAGGUGAAGAACAAUUGAACUGUACCUUUACAGAGAACAGCUCAUAGUGAUUGGUUACUUUGACAUUGUCAACAGAGUUUUUUGGACUACUUUCUCUUUGUUUUCCUAAGUCUUCAAUUUUUUUUUUAAUUCAUAUCAUAUGAAAGUUACAUUUAGAAUCAGUUAAAAAAAUGUUUUCCUCUGAGCUUUUACCGUAAGCUUUUCCUAAAGUAUGCUACUUACGGAGUUCCUGUCGUGGCGCAGUGGAAACAAAUCCAACUAGGAACCAUGAGGUUGCAGGUUCGAUCCCUGGCUUCGCUCAGUGGGUUAAGGAUCCGACAUUGCCGUGAGCUGUGGUGUAGGUCGAAGAUGAGGCUCAGAUCUGGUGUUGCUGUGGCUGUGGUGUAGGCCAGCGGCUACAGCUCCGAUUAGACCCCUAGCCUGGGAACCUCCAUAUGC
ensembl:lncRNA